GUUUUUUCCCUCCUCUCUGAAGCCCUGUAAUUACAGCAGGCAGGUGGAGCAUCUGGGGUGUGGGGGAGUCCACUGUGUUUUUACCUUCCCAGGAACGCGACUUGCCUACCGCAUGCGCUUAUUGCAAAAUCGGAGUCCCUGCACGAAAGCCUGAUUCAAAACUUUUUUUUUCCUGUCGUUCUCUGAGAUGUCGCUGCUAUUACUGUCCCAAAUUUCCUUUUAAAUUUUGCCGUUUGAGUAAAUUAGUGCUGGCCUUUCCUGAGCUCUGCAGCUCCGAGGUGGCCCGACUGCCGGGCCUCCACCUCCUUUUUCCCGGUCCCGGGUCGGUUUCUCCGGGCGCACCCAGCAGCGCCACAAGCCGGUUGGGUCCCCUGGCUCCCUCUCCAAGGCCAGCGCGGUCAUGCGGGCGGGCGGGCGGUGUUCCCCAGAGACCGCCCAUCCCGCGGUGGGGGUGGUGGAACCGCAGAGGCCACCGGAUACAGCGACCUCAGGCCUCGCAGCGCCCAUGGCGGGCCCUGUGGCCCGGGUACCGCGAAUCGCCGGGGCUUGGCGGGCUCUGGAGCAGGGGCCUCCGCCUCGAGGAGGCGGCGGGAUCUGAGGGGCCGUGGUCGCUGCACUUUGUCCGAGACCCCUAGAUUGGCCAAUAGGAGACCGGAAGGGUGCAGGGAGGGCCAGUGGGGCCGAUGGGCCGGGGCCGGGGACAGGCUGGCGCGGGGUUCGGGGGUUCUCUCCUGUCUCUGACGUCUGCCCCCGAGGAGGCAGACCUGGGCAGCCCCGGGCCUCCGCCGAGCCCAGCUUUCCUAAGCCGGGAAGUCGGGGGUUCCUGGGCCCUGCAGAAUAAUUGGGAGGAGUCUGGCAGGAAGGAAGCCAAGGACAGAGGCCCAUAUGGAACCAGCUGGUCUGAGACAAGCCCAGGUUCUGGGCCAGAGCAAAACAGGCAGGUGUUUGCUCAACCUCUGCUAAAGGUCUAUUUUUAAGGCUAGAUGCUGAAUUAGGAGAAGAAGCUUAUGAAUUGAAUAAAAUACUAUUUGCCAUCAAAACCCCUUUGAAUUUUAGCUAGUAAUUCACCCAUAAAGUGCCACCCACCAGGGAGCCUCAUACGGUUUCAUAAAUACAUAUGAGAGCUGCUGUGGAGAGAGAUGGAGCCCGACGCAGGCACCGGACACAACAUCCCACAGCUUCCCCAUGGCUUUCAGAAAGCUUGCAGAUAUUUCUCUCUUCUGUUCUGAACUCUCCACAGAGAAAUCUGUCAAGGGAGAAAGCAAUGACUUUGCUCUCACUGGGCCAGAAAUUCCAUGGCUGAAAUGACCCAGGGAUAGCAGGCGGGUUUGACAAUCUGUCAGUUUCUGGAUAGUGUUACUCGUCAGUCAUUCAUUUUUGCUAAAUU
rnacentral:lncRNA from 1 species